AAUAGAUACCCGGUAGUCCAUGCCGUAAACGAUGUCUACUAGCCGUUGGGGCCCUUGAGGCUUUAGUGGCGCAGCUAACGCGAUAAGUAGACCGCCUGGGGAGUACGGUCGCAAGACUAAAACUCAAAUGAAUUGACGGGGGCCCGCACAAGCGGUGGAGCAUGUGGUUUAAUUCGAUGCAACGCGAAGAACCUUACCUGGCCUUGACAUACAGAGAACUUUCCAGAGAUGGAUUGGUGCCUUCGGGAACUCUGAUACAGGUGCUGCAUGGCUGUCGUCAGCUCGUGUCGUGAGAUGUUGGGUUAAGUCCCGCAACGAGCGCAACCCUUUUCCUUAUUUGCCAGCACUUCGGGUGGGAACUUUAAGGAUACUGCCAGUGACAAACUGGAGGAAGGCGGGGACGACGUCAAGUCAUCAUGGCCCUUACGGCCAGGGCUACACACGUGCUACAAUGGUCGGUACAAAGGGUUGCUACGUGCGCGAGCAGAUGCUAAUCUCAAAAAAGCCGAUCGUAGUCCGGAUCGCAGU
rnacentral:rRNA from 1 species